rnacentral:lncRNA from 1 species
GUACAGGAGGAGGAGGUGGAGGAGGAACAGGAGGAGGUAAAGGACGAGGUAGAGGUGCAGGAGGUAGAGGAGGAGGUAAAGGAUGAGGUAGAGGAGGAGGAGGAGGUGGAGGAGGAGGAGGUGGAGGAGGAGGUAAAGGACGAGGUAGAGGAGGAGGAGGUACAGGAGGAGAUAGAGGAGGUAGAGGAGGAGGAGGUGCAGGAGGUACAGGAGGAGGUAGAGGAGGAGGUAGAGGAGAUAGAGGAGGAGAUAGAGGAGGUAGAGGUGCAGGAGGUACAGGAGGAGGUAGAGGAGGAGGUAGAGGAGAUAGAGGAGGUAGAGGUGCAGGAGGUACAGGAGGAGGUAGAGGAGAUAGAGGAGGUACAGGAGGAGAUAGAGGAGGUAGAGGUGCAGGAGGUACAGGAGGAGGUACAGGAGGAGGUAGAGGAGGAGGAGGUACAGGAGGAGGUAGAGAAGGAAGUAGAGGAGGAGGAGGUACAGGAGGAGGUAGAGGAGAUAGAGGAGGAGGUAGAGGAGAUAGAGGAGGUAGAGGUGCAGGAGGUACAGGAGGAGGUAGAGGAGAUAGAGGAGGUAGAGGUGCAGGAGGUAGAGGUGCAGGAGGUACAGGAGGAGGUAGAGGAGGAGGUAGAGGAGAUAGAGGAGGUAGAGGUGCAGGAGGUAGAGGAGGAGGUAGAGGAGGAGGUAGAGGAGAUAGAGGAGGAGAUAGAGGAGGUAGAGGUGCAGGAGGUACAGGAGGAGGUAGAGGAGGAGGUAGAGGAGAUAGAGGAGGUAGAGGUGCAGGAGGUACAGGAGGAGGUAGAGGAGAUAGAGGAGGUACAGGAGGAGAUAGAGGAGGUAGAGGUGCAGGAGGUACAGGAGGAGGUACAGGAGGAGGUAGAGGAGGAGGAGGUACAGGAGGAGGUAGAGAAGGAAGUAGAGGAGGAGGAGGUACAGGAGGAGGUAGAGGAGAUAGAGGAGGUAGAGGUGCAGGAGGUACAGGAGGAGGUAGAGGAGAUAGAGGAGGAGGUAGAGGAGAUAGAGGAGGUAGAGGUGCAGGAGGUACAGGAGGAGGGAGAGGAGGAGGUAGAGGAGAUAGAGGAGGUAGAGGUGCAGGAGGUACAGGAGGAGGUAGAGGAGAUAGAGGAGGUAGAGGUGCAGGAGGUACAGGAGGAGGUAGAGGAGGAGGUAGAGGAGAUAGAGGAGGUAGAGGAGGAGGUAGAGGAGAUAGAGGAGGUAGAGGUGCAGGAGGUACAGGAGGAGGUAGAGGAGGAGGUAGAGGAGAUAGAGGAGGUAGAGGUGCAGGAGGUACAGGAGGAGGUAGAGGAGGAGGUAGAGGAGAUAGAGGAGGUAGAGGUGCAGGAGGUAGAGGAGGAGGUAGAGGAGAUAGAGGAGGUAGAGGUGCAGGAGGUACAGGAGGAGGUAGAGGAGAUAGAGGAGGUAGAGGUGCAGGAGGUACAGGAGGAGGUAGAGGAGGAGGUAGAGGAGAUAGAGGUGCAGGAGGUACAGGAGGAGGUAGAGGAGGAGGUAGAGGAGAUAGAGGAGGUAGAGGUGCAGGAGGUACAGGAGGAGGUAGAGGAGGAGGUAGAGGAGAUAGAGGAGGUAGAGGUGCAGGAGGUACAGGAGGAGGUAGAGGAGGAGGUAGAGGAGAUAGAGGAGGUAGAGGUGCAGGAGGUAGAGGAGGAGGUAGAGGAGAUAGAGGAGGUAGAGGUGCAGGAGGUACAGGAGGAGGUAGAGGAGGAGGUAGAGGAGAUAGAGGAGGUAGAGGUGCAGGAGGUACAGGAGGAGGUAGAGGAGGUAGAGGAGGAGAUAGAGGUGCAGGAGGUACAGGAGGAGGUAGAGGAGGAGGUAGAGGAGAUAGAGGAGGUAGAGGUGCAGGAGGUACAGGAGGAGGUAGAGGAGGAGGUACAGGAGGAGGUAGAGGAGAUAGAGGUGCAGGAGGUACAGGAGGAGGUAGAGGAGAGAGGAGGUAGAGGAGAUAGAGGAGGUAGAGGUGCAGGAGGUACAGGAGGAGGUAGAGGAGGAGGUAGAGGAGAUAGAGGAGGUAGAGGUGCAGGAGGUACAGGAGGAGGUAGAGGAGGAGGUAGAGGAGAUAGAGGAGGUAGAGGUGCAGGAGGUACAGGAGGAGGUAGAGGAGAUAGAGGUGCAGGAGGUACAGGAGGAGGUAGAGGAGGAGGUAGAGGAGAUAGAGGAGGUAGAGGUGCAGGAGGUACAGGAGGAGGUAGAGGAGAUAGGAGGAGGUAG